UUCACUUUAUUCUUUUUUAUCUUAGUUUCUUGUCACUUUCUUGCUGUCGAGAUCAUAUUACACAUGUAGUAAUAUUUGAAUUAUUUGAAUUAUUACACAUGUAGUAAUAACUACUGUGAAUGAAUUUUAUUUCAACAAUUAAUAUAUGGAAAUUGGUAUUUUCCAACUUUACUCUCUUUCUCACUUGGGAAUUCUGAGUGUUCAUCAUCAUCAUCUUCUUCUUCUUCUUCUUCCUCUCAAAUCUGACAUUCUUCUUCUUUCUCAGAGUUCAUCACCAUCAUCUCUUUCUCUUUCUCUUGCUGUAUUUGAGUUUUUCAUUCUCUUUGUCUACAAAAAUUUCAACAACAAAAAAAAAAUUUCUAAGAGUUCAUCAUCAUCUUCUUCUUCUUCUUCCUCUCAAAUCUGACAUUCUUCUUCUUUCUUAGAGUUCAUCAUCAUCAUCUUUUUCUCUUUCUCUUUCUCUUGCUGUAUUUGAGUUUUUCAUUCUCUUUAUUACAAAAAUUAAAAAAAAAAAAAAAUAUUCUGAGAGUUCAUCAUCAUCAUCAUCAUCUUCUUCUUCUUCCUCUCAAAUCUGACCUUCUUCUUUCUCAGAGUUCAUCAUCAUCAUCAUCAUCAUCUCUUUCUCUUUCUCUUGAGUUUUUCAUUCUCUUUCUCUACAAAAAUUUCAAAAACAAAAAAAAAAACUACUCUUUAGUCAAGCAAUCAGAUCAAACUCAAAUCAAAUUUGCACAUUUCUGUUUCUCUUGCUGCAUUUGAGUUUUUCAGUCAUUUUCUCUGCAAAACUUUCAAAAAAAAAAAAAAAAACUUUGAAGUCAGGUAUAUUACUCUCUAUGCUCCUCUCCUUUCCUAAUUUGCUCUUAAUUUAUUAAAUAUGGGGUUCAUACUUUUUUAGACCUUGUGUUUCUUCUCAUGACCUGUUUGGACCCUGUGUUUUGACAAAUUACUUUUUGGACUCUAUGUUUUGUAAAAUAGUUAAAAUAGAACACUAAACUCAAUUUUGAUGAAGAAAAAAUUGAAUAUAACAAUACAGUUUUUAAGCAGAAUAAUUUUAUUUUUGUUCUGAAUUGUUAGUUUGGUAAAUUAUUUGUGAUUUUAGUUGAGAAAACAUUAACCAAAAUCGGAUUUAGGGUUCUAUUUUAACCAUUUUACAAAAGACAGGGUCCAAAAAGUAAUUUGUCAAAACACAGGGUCCAAACAAGUAAUGGGAAAAACACACGGUCCAAAAAAGUAUAAACCCUUAAAUAUGUACACCCAAAAUAUGUACUUAAAUAUCACACACAGUAACGUGUCACUUAAUUUUAAAAUAAUGGGUUAUAAUUUUAAUAAAUGUGAUUAGCUAGACUAAUCUGCUAUAUCACUAAGAAUAAUAUUUGAGUGUAUAUUUUAAGUGUCAAUAACUUAUUUGAAUUUUGGUUGGA